rnacentral:rRNA from 1 species
ACUCCGGUUGAUCCUGCCGGACCUCACUGCUAUCGGGGUGAGACUAAGCCAUGCAAGUCAAGGCCCAUAGCCACCUGUGGGCCUGGCGUACGGCUCAGUAACACGUGGCCAACCUGCCCUGAGGAGGCGGAUAACACCGGGAAACUGGUGUAUAAACCGCCAUAGGUGAGAGGUUCUGGAACGACCUCUCGCUGAAAAAUUUACACAGGGAUGCCUGUGUAAAUGCCUCAGGAUGGGGCUGCGGCCCAUCAGGUAGUUGGUGGGGUAACGGCCCACCAAGCCUAUAACGGGUACGGGCCCUGAGAGGGGGAGCCCGGAGAUGGACUCUGAGACAAGAGUCC